rnacentral:rRNA from 1 species
AUUGAACGCUGGCGGCAGGCCUAACACAUGCAAGUCGAACGGUAACAGGAAGAAGCUUGCUUCUUUGCUGACGAGUGGCGGACGGGUGAGUAAUGUCUGGGAAACUGCCUGAUGGAGGGGGAUAACUACUGGAAACGGUAGCUAAUACCGCAUAACGUCGCAAGACCAAAAAGGGGGACCUUCGGGCCUCUUGCCAUCGGAUGUGCCCAGAUGGGAUUAGCUAGUAGGUGGGGUAACGGCUUACCUAGGCGACGAUCCCUAGCUGGUCUGAGAGGAUGACCAGCCACACUGGAACUGAGACACGGUCCAGACUCCUACGGGAGGCAGCAGUGGGGAAUAUUGCACAAUGGGCGCAAGCCUGAUGCAGCCAUGCCGCGUGUAUGAAGAAGGCCUUCGGGUUGUAAAGUACUUUCAGCGGGGAGGAAGGGAGUAAAGUUAAUACCUUUGCUCAUUGACGUUACCCGCAGAAGAAGCACCGGCUAACUCCGUG